rnacentral:rRNA from 1 species
AGAGUUUGAUCCUGGCUCAGGAUGAACGCUGGCGGCGUGCUUAACACAUGCAAGUCGAACGAACCUUCGGGUUAGUGGCGGACGGGUGAGUAACGCGUGAGAAUCUGCCCUCAGGAGGGGGACAACAGUUGGAAACGACUGCUAAUACCCCAUAUGCCGCGAGGUGAAAUGAAUUUCGCCUGAGGAUGAGCUCGCGUCUGAUUAGCUAGUUGGUGUAGGUAAUGGCUCACCAAGGCAUCGAUCAGUAGCUGGUCUGAGAGGAUGAUCAGCCACACUGGGACUGAGACACGGCCCAGACUCCUACGGGAGGCAGCAGUGGGGAAUUUUCCGCAAUGGGCGAAAGCCUGACGGAGCAACGCCGCGUGAGGGAUGAAGGCCUCUGGGCUGUAAACCUCUUUUAUCAAGGAAGAAGAUCUGACGGUACUUGAUGAAUAAGCCACGGCUAAUUCCGUGCCAGCAGCCGCGGUAAUACGGGAGUGGCAAGCGUUAUCCGGAAUUAUUGGGCGUAAAGCGUCCGCAGGCGGCCCUUCAAGUCUGCUGUUAAAAAGUGGAGCUUAACUCCAUCAUGGCAGUGGAAACUGUUGGGCUUGAGUGUGGUAGGGGCAGAGGGAAUUCCCGGUGUAGCGGUGAAAUGCGUAGAUAUCGGGAAGAACACCAGUGGCGAAGGCGCUCUGCUGGGCCAUCACUGACGCUCAUGGACGAAAGCCAGGGGAGCGAAAGGGAUUAGAUACCCCUGUAGUCCUGGCCGUAAACGAUGAACACUAGGUGUCGGGGGAAUCGACCCCCUCGGUGUCGUAGCCAACGCGUUAAGUGUUCCGCCUGGGGAGUACGCACGCAAGUGUGAAACUCAAAGGAAUUGACGGGGGCCCGCACAAGCGGUGGAGUAUGUGGUUUAAUUCGAUGCAACGCGAAGAACCUUACCAGGGUUUGACAUCCUGCGAAUCUCUUGGAAACGAGAGAGUGCCUUCGGGAACGCAGUGACAGGUGGUGCAUGGCUGUCGUCAGCUCGUGUCGUGAGAUGUUGGGUUAAGUCCCGCAACGAGCGCAACCCACGUCUUUAGUUGCCAGCAUUCAGUUGGGCACUCUAGAGAGACCGCCGGUGAUAAACCGGAGGAAGGUGUGGAUGACGUCAAGUCAUCAUGCCCCUUACAUCCUGGGCUACACACGUACUACAAUGCUACGGACAAAGGGCAGCAAGUUCGCGAGGACAAGCAAAUCCCAUAAACCGUGGCUCAGUUCAGAUCGUAGGCUGCAACUCGCCUACGUGAAGGAGGAAUCGCUAGUAAUCGCAGGUCAGCAUACUGCGGUGAAUACGUUCCCGGGCCUUGUACACACCGCCCGUCACACCAUGGAAGUUGGCCACGCCCGAAGCCGUUACUCCAACCCUUGUGGAGGAGGACGUCGAAGGUGGGGCUGAUGACUGGGGUGAAGUCGUAACAAGGUAACC